AUGCUCACUUCGGCAGCACAUAUACUAAAAUUGCACAGAUACAGAGAUUAGCAUGGCCUCUGUGCAAAGAUGAUACACAAAUUCAUAAAGUGUUCCAUAUUUUU
rnacentral:snRNA from 1 species